GCUGGCGGAAUGCUUUACACAUGCAAGUCGAGCGGCAGCGCGGGGCAACCUGGCGGCGAGCGGCGAACGGGUGAGUAAUGCAUCGGAACAUGUCCAUACGUGGGGGAUAGCCCGGCGAAAGCCGGAUUAAUACCGCAUACGCCCGAGAGGGGAAAGUGGGGGACCGCAAGGCCUCACGCGGAUGGGUUGGCCGAUGUCCGAUUAGCUAGUUGGCGGGGUAAGAGCCCACCAAGGCGAUGAUCGGUAGCUGGUCUGAGAGGAUGAUCAGCCACACUGGGACUGAGACACGGCCCAGACUCCUACGGGAGGCAGCAGUGGGGAAUUUUGGACAAUGGGGGCAACCCUGAUCCANCCAUUCCGCGUGAGUGAAGAAGGCCUUCGGGUUGUAAAGCUCUUUUGUCCGGAACGAAACGGCUACGGCUAAUACCUGUGACUACUGACGGUACCGGAAGAAUAAGCACCGGCUAACUACGUGCCAGCAGCCGU
rnacentral:rRNA from 1 species